rnacentral:rRNA from 1 species
AGUGAACGCUGGCGGUAGGCCUAACACAUGCAAGUCGAACGGCAGCACAGGAGAGCUUGCUCUCUGGGUGGCGAGUGGCGGACGGGUGAGGAAUACAUCGGAAUCUACUUUUUCGUGGGGGAUAACGUAGGGAAACUUACGCUAAUACCGCAUACGACCUACGGGUGAAAGCAGGGGAUCUUAGGACCUUGCGCGAUUGAAUGAGCCGGUGUCGGCUUAGCUAGUUGGCGGGGUAAAGGCCCACCAAGGCGACGAUCCGUAGCUGGUCUGAGAGGAUGAUCAGCCACACUGGAACUGAGACACGGUCCAGACUCCUACGGGAUGCAGCAGUGGGGAAUAUUGGACAAUGGGCGCAAGCCUGAUCCAGCCAUACCGCGUGGGUGAAGAAGGCCUUCGGGUUGUAAAGCCCUUUUGUUGGGAAAGAAAUCCAGCUGGCUAAUACCCGGUUGGGAUGACGGUACCCAAAGAAUAAGCACCGGCUAACUUCGUGCCAGCCGCCGCGGUAA